GAUGAACGCUGGCGGCGUGCCUAAUACAUGCAAGUCGAGCGAACGGACGAGAAGCUUGCUUCUCUGAUGUUAGCGGCGGACGGGUGAGUAACACGUGGAUAACCUACCUAUAAGACUGGGAUAACUUCGGGAAACCGGAGCUAAUACCGGAUAAUAUUUUGAACCGCAUGGUUCAAAAGUGAAAGACGGUCUUGCUGUCACUUAUAGAUGGAUCCGCGCUGCAUUAGCUAGUUGGUAAGGUAACGGCUUACCAAGGCAACGAUGCAUAGACGACCUGAGAGGGUGAUCGGCCACACUGGAACUGAGACACGGUCCAGACUCCUACGGGAGGCCGCAGUAGGGAAUCUUCCGCAAUGGGCGAAAGCCUGACGGAGCAACGCCGCGUGAGUGAUGAAGGUCUUCGGAUCGUAAAACUCUGUUAUUAGGGAAGAACAUAUGUGUAAGUAACUGUGCACAUCUUGACGGUACCUAAUCAGAAAGCCACGGCUAACUACGUG
rnacentral:rRNA from 1 species